GAUGAAGAACGUAGCGAAAUGCGAUAAGUAAUGUGAAUUGCAGAAUUCAGUGAAUCAUCGAAUCUUUGAACGCACCUUGCACCCUUUGGCAUUCUGAAGGGUAUGCUCGUUUGAGUGUCAUUGUACUCUCACACUCCCGAUCUUUGCAUUGGGAGCAGUGGACUUGGGUUUGCUGCUUCACCGUCGCUUACCUCAAAUAGGUUAGUGCAACUCUUGGUUGGACAUAGUACGGCGUGAUAAGUGUUCUUCGCCGGUGCCGCGCAAAGAGGGUGGCCGAUCGGGAUGUUGUGCUCCAAACCGUCUUCGGACAAUCUCUGACGACUUGACCUCAAAUCGAGUAAGACUACCCGCUGAACUUAAGCAUAUCAAUAAGCGGAGGA
rnacentral:misc_RNA from 1 species